rnacentral:rRNA from 1 species
CUACGGGUGGCAGCAGUGGGGAAUAUUGCACAAUGGGGGAAACCCUGAUGCAGCAACGCCGCGUGGAGGAUGACGCAUUUCGGUGUGUAAACUCCUUUUAUAUAGAAAGAACAUGACGGUACUAUAUGAAUAAGCACCGGCUAACUCCGUGCCAGCAGCCGCGGUAAUACGGAGGGUGCAAGCGUUACUCGGAAUCACUGGGCGUAAAGGAUGCGUAGGCAGAUUAAUAAGUUGGGAGUGAAAUCCUAUGGCUCAACCAUAGAACUGCUUUCAAAACUGUUAGUCUAGAAUGUGGGAGAGGUAGAUGGAAUUAGUGGUGUAGGGGUAAAAUCCGUAGAGAUCACUAGGAAUACCGAUUGCGAAGGCGAUCUACUGGAACACUAUUGACGCUGAGGCAUGAAAGCGUGGGGAGCAAACAGGAUUAGAUACCCCCGUAGUC